rnacentral:miRNA from 1 species
CCAUGUGGAUGGUCCAACUG